rnacentral:rRNA from 1 species
GUAGGUUGCGAGCGUUGUCCGGAUUUACUGGGCGUAAAGCGCGCGCAGGCGGUCCUGAAAGUCGAGCGUGAAAGCUCCCGGCCCAACUGGGAGAGGCCGUUCGAAACUUCAGGACUUGAAGACGGGAGAGGCAAAUGGAAUUUCCGGUGUAGCGGUAAAAUGCGUAGAUACCGGAAGGAACACCAGUGGCGAAAGCGAUUUGCUGGCCCGUCCUUGACGCUCAGGCGCGAAAGCUAGGGGAGCGACCGGGAUUAGAUACCCCGUUAGUCCUAGCCGUAAACAAUGGGCACUAGGUGUUGUCGGUAUCGACCCCGGCAGUGCCGUAGCUAACGCAUUAAGUGCCCCGCCUGGGGAGUACGGCCGCAAGGUUG